CUUGUCGCGGUGCUUGGAUUGCAGCACGUGAGCCAGCUCGCGCAGGUGGCCCCGGUGUCGCUGCUCCUCCGGCCGCGCGGGGAAAGCGGCGGCCAGGAUCCGCUCCGUCACGUAGGAUGACCACUGUCCACAGCAGUCCAUUCAAGGUAACCUCCUGGGUGCCCUCUCUGUGGCCACGAGACAUCUGGAUACCGCAGCCAGGUUCCUCGCCUCCCCCACCCCAUCUCAGAGCACACUCACCAGCUCCGCGGGAGGCAAGGCCUGACAGGAUGAAGUCACCUGGAAGGAGACCGAAUGGUUAAGAAUCUGCCUGCCAAUGCAGGGUACACGGGUUCAAGCCCUGGUCCGGAAAGAUUCCCACAUGCUGUGGAGCAGCUAAGCCUGUGCACCACAACUACUGAGUCUGUGCUCUAGUGCCCUCAAGUCACAACUACUGAGCCCAUGUACCACAACUACUGAAAGCCUUCGUGCCUAGAGCCCAUGCUCUGCAACAAGAGAAGCCACUGCAAUGAGGAGCCCACGCACUGCAAUGAAGAAUAGUCCCCGCUCUCUGCAACUAGAGAAAGCCUGUGUGCAACAAAGAAGACCCAAC